AUGCCGAGUCGUUCCAUGGCGGCACUGGCGGCGCUCGCGGUGACGGACGAACUGGCACUGCGCUUCGCGCGGCGGGGGACCUGGCGUGGGAAGCUGCCUUUUGAUGACGUGUCUGUUGGUGCUGUUCUGUCUGUCAUUACAAAGGUGGAAAGUUUCGGGGAUCAAUUGGCACCAAACAAUUACAUCGAGGGUCGUCUACUUAUGGGCGGUUUUGUUGAACUGCAAGGUUCUGCUACAAGCUUGCAGAAUAGUAUCAAGACAAAGAAGCCAUCUUGGAGUAUGAUCUUGACUGAGGAGUCCUUGAAGAGACCACAGCUUCCAGUGGCUCUGUUUAAUUUUGCCACAAAUAAGGCAUGCAAGAACUGCAGUUGUGGCUGGGCUGAGGCUCAGCAGAAGGUGGAGAAGCUGGGGCUCACUGCACAGCAGAUCGAUAGCCCCGUGUCAGCUUGUGGCAGUUGUGGGUUGGGCGAUGCAUUCCGGUGCAGUACUUGUCCAUACAGAGGCCUCGCACCGUUCAAGUUGGUUACAUUGUCUGACAAUAUCCUUUCGGCCUACAUAUGA
rnacentral:rRNA from 1 species